GAAUAUAUAGUUUACAAAUAUCAUAUAUAACUACAUUGCCUGAAGGAGUAUUGAGUUGUUUUAAUUCUCAUCAAAAUGUUUGAUAAAAGUCUUCAAGCUUAUAUCGUUUAGCUUAUGACUGCUCAGCCUUGGAUUUCCAUCUGAAUCUCACUGAUUAUUAAGAAAUACAGAGUUUACAUUUUCGAAAGAUGGUGGCUCAUUGAAUAUAAC
rnacentral:lncRNA from 1 species